rnacentral:rRNA from 1 species
CGGGUGAGUAACACGUGGGCAAUCUGCCCUGCACUCUGGGACAAGCCCUGGAAACGGGGUCUAAUACCGGAUACUGAUCCUCGCAGGCAUCUGUGAGGUUCGAAAGCUCCGGCGGUGCAGGAUGAGCCCGCGGCCUAUCAGCUUGUUGGUGAGGUAAUGGCUCACCAAGGCGACGACGGGUAGCCGGCCUGAGAGGGCGACCGGCCACACUGGGACUGAGACACGGCCCAGACUCCUACGGGAGGCAGCAGUGGGGAAUAUUGCACAAUGGGCGAAAGCCUGAUGCAGCGACGCCGCGUGAGGGAUGACGGCCUUCGGGUUGUAAACCUCUUUCAGCAGGGAAGAAGCGAAAGUGACGGUACCUGCAGAAGAAGCGCCGGCUAACUACGUGCCAGCAGCCGCGGUAAUACGUAGGGCGCGAGCGUUGUCCGGAAUUAUUGGGCGUAAAGAGCUCGUAGGCGGCUUGUCACGUCGGUUGUGAAAGCCCGGGGCUUAACCCCGGGUCUGCAGUCGAUACGGGCAGGCUAGAGUUCGGUAGGGGAGAUCGGAAUUCCUGGUGUAGCGGUGAAAUGCGCAGAUAUCAGGAGGAACACCGGUGGCGAAGGCGGAUCUCUGGGCCGAUACUGACGCUGAGGAGCGAAAGCGUGGGGAGCGAACAGGAUUAGAUACCCUGGUAGUCC